rnacentral:lncRNA from 10 species
UUCACAAUUACUCUUUUCAAGUAAUUAAAUUUGUGCUCAGAAUUUUUAAAAUGUUAUAUGUAUUUCAUAAGAGCUGCUUUCUUAAGCAUUCAUUUGUUAUUAAUUUAUUCACUCAUAUCUUUUGAGUGCCUACGAGGGGCAUAGCAUCUUAUUCCUAAACAUAUUUUACAGACCCAGAAAAUUAUGCUUUAGAACAUUUGUAUAAUGAUAGCUAAAUUUCACACUUGCAAAAUUACAAAAAGCUGUGUAAAGAUUCAAGGGUCUUUGAAGCCAUCUUUGGUUCCACUUACUUGUCAUUAUUUAAUCAGAAAAGAGCCUUAUUGGGACGCAUAUGGUGUAAAUAGUUCAAAAGAUAUUUGGAUGUCUUCGUGACAGAGGGUUUUCUUACACUUCAGCCUUUAAAAUGUCGCAUUUUAUUUUUCCACAGCUAUGCACUUUUUUGGAAGGUGGUGCGUCAUUUCUUUAAACCAGAAAUUAACCGUUUUUUUUCUUUCUAUGGGAAAAUUUUCUUUUGUAUGGAAUUCUCUUGGUUUGCAGUAACAUAUGUGUUUGUAAAAGCAAUAUGCAUGUUUUCAAAUUUCCAUCAUGCAAGAGAGGACUUGUCUGUUCUACUGAUUUGAAUGGAAUUGAACUUUAAAAGAACAGGUCCGUGCAUAACCUAGAAAUCCCAAAAUGCUGAAUGAAAUGAAAGUCCUGCUUAUCCCACCUAAUGUUUGCUGGAGAGGCUCAACUUGGAAAUGAAAGAUAACAACAAAGAACAUUUGAACUCGGCUAAGUUCUUACUGAGCUGUCGUGCGUUUAUUGAAGGUAUCAUGACAAGGAUAGGGACGCAAUGGGGAGCAAAACCAAACAUGAUCCCAUGCAGUUGAGAGCUCCGGGCCUCGGUAACUCUAUCAGCUUGGCUUCUGAAAUGAUCACCGUGCUGCAGGAUGGAAAAUGGAUUGGAGGAGAGUGAGAGUGAAUUAUGGAACGGUGUGUAGAAGGAGUCAAUUUAGGGAGAGCAUUUACUAUUUUAAUGUGAAUUUUCGUUAACUCAUAUUAGUUUUUCUUGGUCUUAUUUUUAUUUAUGUGAGGAAUUAUAUGAUAAAAUUUCAGAAUUAUAUAUUUACUUUCACACAGAUUUAUACAAUCCAGGUUUAAAUCUCAGCUCUGGGAAACCUUGAACAAAUUAUUUAACCUAUAAGUGUCAGUAUCUUUAUCUGUGAAAUGGAGAUAAUAAAACUUACCCAAUAUAGUCAUAAAAAUUAAAUGAGAUAAUGAAUGUAAAUUACUUAACACAGGGCUCACCACACAAUAAGGGUUUAAUAAGGUGGUGGUUUUAAGCCUUAAAUUUUUUUCAGGAACACCUGUGGAACUUCAAAAAAUACAGCUGCCUGAGCCAUACUCCAAACCUAUUCAAUCUGAAUACCUGGGUCUGAUCUCAUUGUGUACCCUAGAUGAAAAUCACUGCAAUAAAAAUUAAAUAUUUAUAAUUUAUUAUUAGCAAUUUUAUUAACAUUAAUAUCGCAGUGAAACAUCUAAAAAAUUUUAUCUGAUGCCAUAGUAUAGAGGAUAUGUGGGAUCACGAAUUUUAUCAGGUCCUUAUAUGUGUGACUAUAAUGUUUGGGGCCAUAUGAUUUUAAUUGUAGCAUAUAAAGAUCUAUGAAAUAAUGUUAUAUUGCAAUUACUGCUUAUUUUUGUGUGUCUAUGUGUGUGCAUGAUGGAUCUAUUUCCCUGGGGUGAGUGCAGAAGUUUGAGAUGGCUGGCGUUAUAGGAAAGCUAUUUUUAAGAAAAAUUGUCUAUGUACUAGGAUAAGGUCAAACCACAAGUGAGCUGAACUUCACCAUCUAUUAACAAACGAAAAUAAAACAUUUAUUACAUUGUCCAUUCUUGCUUUUUUAUAUUUACGGUAUAUUCCAAGGAGAUUUCCCUGUUGGGAUAAAAUUUCACAAACAGAGAGGGGAAAGGAGGGGGAAGUUUAAAUAAAAAUCUUUUAUUAUUGAUUUGGCAUUGUUGGGGCUAACCACAUAGAUUGUGAAAAUAAUAUAGUUUAUUUCUUUUUUUUAUUGGCUCUACAAAGUAAUAGCUUAGCAUAGCUAUUAGUUUAUCUUGUAACUAACCUUUGAACUACUUUGUGAAUUGGUUGUUUUCCAGAAAGCAGUAUAGUCAAUAAAAUAAACACUGAAAGAUUCUUAAUAGCAUUAAGUGUACUGAAGGAGAAGAUUCUGAAGACAAGCUCUGCUCUUCCUCUGGACUAUGACAUUUUAUGGACUUGAAAUUUCUUACUAUAUUAUCAUGGUCCUUGCAGUGAAAAAACCCCUACUCUAAGAUUUGCAAUCUACCCAUUAUAGAAUUUAUUCAUGCUCUGAAAUUAAAUGGACAGUGUGUUUAAUUAUUUACCGUACUGGCACGGGAUGAAGAAAAAGCUAUAUCAAAAUGUUCUGGCCCAAAGGAAGUUUACCAAGGGAUUAGAUAUUAUACAUAAAGAUCUAGUCAUUUUAUGACUAUUUUUUUUAAUGUGAGUGAUCAUAUGUGAAACUGUGUAUAAGACCCACUGAAAUUAUUAUUUAAGACACCAGAAAUGUGUAUAUGUUCAUAAGUUUUGUUUAAGUGCACUGUUGUCAUCAGAAACCAGGAUUGCCAAGAUAUCUACUAAGUAAAGAGUAGAAAAUGUUGCUCAGAUGACUACACAAAUUCCUCUUCAACAUAAUCAUGAAAAAACUUUCCAGGAUUGGGAAGCUUCUGUUUUAUUUUCAUGUCCAAGAGAGCUGAUUAAGAAAUUAUCAUAUCAUUUCUGUCUUUUCAACUACUGGCCAAGACAUCCUGGUAACCCUCUAGAUCACUACAAUCUUACAUUGUCAAUCAAACAUCACCAAACCUAUAAUGCACUUAGAGAGUAUAAAGCUAUACAUGAUCAACAUUUCCAAAAGGAGAAUCCUUUCAACAUCAUCAGUUCACCAGGAAAAAGUGUAUCCUCAUGUUAAAUACCUUUGAAAAAUAAUACAUUUAUAUUUUCCUCUUUGAAAUUAACCAUGUGCAUUGACUUAUUAAAUGCUCCUAUUAUAAAUAAAUAUUUUUAACUCUGAA